rnacentral:rRNA from 1 species
GGAAAGAGAGGGAGGGCGGCGGGGGGAGAACGGGGGUGGCAAGGGGUAAUUGGAAUUAGUGGGCGUAAGGCGAGCGCAGGCGGUUGGAUAAGGUAGAUGUGAGAGCCCCGGGCGCAACCUGGGAAUGGCAUUGAAAACUGUCCAGGUAGAGUCUGGUAGAGGGGGGUAGAAUGCCAGGUGUAGCGGUGAAAUGCGUAGAGAUCUGGAGGAAUACCGGGGGCGAAGGCGGCCCCCUGGACAAAGACUGACGCUGAGGCGCGAAAGCUAGGGGAGCGAACAGGAUUAGAUACCCCAGUAGUC